CGAGACCGUGCAGUCCAGGUUUGGGCUGGUGUCCUCAUUGGCGUCACAGAGCUACCAGCAGUCCCUGCUGCCACACGGUUUCACCGUUCUUCUUUCUGGCUUACAACCAGCAAACGAAGGAGAUCCUUGUGAAAGCAUCCCGACUGUCACUUUCUUCGAAAGCGGCACAGCCUGGAAUCCUCCAACACACCUUGAGACAAACAGUGUUAUAGAGGUCAGAGGCUGGUCAAUGUUUCUUGCAAGGAAUUAUUAUGAAUCUCUCGAUUGUUGUGUGUUGAUGCCAAAUCAUUGUGCGAAUUACGUUUAGCCAUGGUUUCGAUGCUAUAGGCAGAGUCAUCACAUUCAAUAUUUUAAUUGCCUUGGACCCGCAUUUCGUAGCAAAUAGAUGCGCACUUUCAUAUAGUUUCCUGUCACUAGGUCGUAUCGGACAGAUGUAAUAUUUUGUAUUUUUAGCAACCCCACAAAUAUUAAGAUGUACAUCUCUUUAUCCGUUAGACCAAUGUGUGCACUGAGCGUGAGAAACAUGCAAUUUUUUUAAUUUUCAUAUCUGUCUGACAUUUAUUUCCUGCAUCAAGAGAUACGUGUGACACCAUUGGCAGCUGAAGCGCUUGAAAAGGACAGCCGCCAGCAGGCAAAAAGUGCAACAUGGCAGCAGGAACGCCGGCUUCGUGUCACAUCCUCCAAGUUUGGUGCGGUCCUGAAUAAGAAGGAGUGGACUGUUAAGGGCCUGCAGAACCUCACAGCUGCCAGAGACCUUUCUAGAGUUACUGCAGUCAAUUACGGCAUCAAGAUGGAGUCGCUAGCUGCUCAACGCUACGAGGAUGCUCUACGCCGUCUGGGCCACGCUUCUACAGUUAGCACCUGUGGAUUGCUGGUUAACCCAGCCUUUCCUUGGUUGGGUGCGUCACCCGACAGGAUUGUGUACGACCCCACAGAACAAUCCUAUGGUGUAGUGGAGAUCAAGUGUCCCUACUCUUUACGUGAAUACAAGGCGUCUGCCCUUCUAAACACUGAUUUCUGUUGCAUAAUUAGGGAUGGUGUACCAGAGCUUAAGAGGGACCACCAGUAUUAUCAUCAACUGCUUGGGCAGAUGGGUGUAUCACAGUUGCGCUGGGGUGACUUUGUGGUCUAUGGAGGAGAUCUUAUUUUGAUCGAAAGAAUAAGAUUUAAUGAGAAUGAAUGGAAAAGUGCCAGAGAGGUCCUUGACAACUUUUACUUUGACACACUGCUGCCAUACCUGUUGAGCACUGUAAUCUGAUGUGAUACACAAAACAAUGCAAAAAUGGCAUGUCAAAAAGACAAGUAGGGCUGCAAACAUUUUAUUGCACACAAGAGGAGGGCAGCACCACGAGGUAGUGAGGAUUGACAUAUGACUAGCAAAUAAGCGUCUUUAAGGAACACUGUGGAUUAGAUCAGUUUGUAUCUUCUUUUAGAAGUGAUGGCUGGAAGUUUGUAAGGAAGGCACACACGGCCCACAUCUGAUUCGCUAAGGGUACAAGGGAGAUUGGAAUCGACCGGUCAAAAAUGUGAUAUCCCUUGAUUUUCUUGAUCUUCCUCUCCACAUGUAUCCUGAUUGCUGCAAUUUCUUGAGUCUCCUCCACUUCGGCGGGAGCAAAUUGCCCAUGCAUGAGGAAGGGUGGAAUGUUCAGCAUAACUUUCUUGCUUUGUAGCAGGUCUUUUAUUUUAAAUCCUUUGUCAGCCAUGACUGAGUCACCUGUGUCAAACUUCAGGUCUAAAGAGCCACUCUUCUCCACACACUCUCUGUCAGACGUACACCCAGUAAAUAGUUCCGAAACAAAAGUCAGUACUCCAUGAGGGGAUAUGCCUAUGAGUGCUUUGAACGUAUGGGUAGACUUGUACGAGGAAUAGACUUGUGA
rnacentral:lncRNA from 1 species